CCUACGGGGAGCAGCAGUGAGGAAUAUUGGUCAAUGGACGCAAGUCUGAACCAGCCAUGCCGCGUGCAGGAAGACGGCUCUAUGAGUUGUAAACUGCUUUUGUACGAGGGUAAACGCAGAUACGCGUAUCUGUCUGAAAGUAUCGUACGAAUAAGGAUCGGCUAACACCGUGCCAGCAGCCGCGGUAAUACGGAGGAUUCAAGCGUUAUCCGGAUUUAUUGGGUUUAAAGGGUGCGUAGGCGGUCGGAUAAGUUAGAGGUGAAAUCCCGAGGCUCAACUUCGGAAUUGCCUCUGAUACUGUUCGGCGAGAGAGUAGUUGCGGUAGGCGGAAUGUAUGGUGUAGCGGUGAAAUGCUUAGAGAUCAUACAGAACACCGAUUGCGAAGGCAGCUUACCAAGCUACUUCUGACGUUGAGGCACGAAAGCGUGGGGAGCAAACAGGAUUAGAUACCCGAGUAGUC
rnacentral:rRNA from 1 species